ACAGCGCGCCGGCCGCGGUGGCCAUUGGAGGGUGAACCAAUGGCAAAGGAAGACCUUUCUCUCUCUCUCUCUCUCUCUCACUGUCCACUCUGCCUGUCAAAAAGAGAGAGAGAGAGACAGAAAGGUCUUCCCUCUGUUGGUUCACCCCCCAAAUGGCCGCUAGGUGCUGCACCGAUCCGAAGCCAGGAGCUAGGUGCUUUUUCCUGGUCUCCCACAUGGGUGCAGGCGCCCAAGGACUUGGGCCAUCCUCCACUGCCUUCCUGGGCCACAGCAGAGAGCUGGACUGGAAGAGGAGCAGCCGGGACUAGAACCUGGUACCCAUAUGGGAUGCCGGCGCCGUAGGCGGAGGAUUAACCAAGUGAGCCACGGCACCAGGCCCCAAGAAAUGUUUUUUUGCACCAAAGUCAAGUCAUACUUUCAAGUCCACUUUCCCAUGAACUUUUGAAGGCCCUUCAAAUGCCCGUAUUCUCGUCACUCCUCACACUUCACCCCUCCCUUGCUCACCUCACAGCUGGAUUGCUGGAGUAGUUUCCCAAAUAUUCUCCCCACUUCUGCCCCUCCCUUUCUGAGGCUUGUUCUCCACACAGAAGCCAAAAUUAUCUUUAAGGAAAAAGGGAGAGGGACUGGCAUUGCGGCACAGUGCCUGGGAUGCCAGCAUCCCAUAUGUGAGCGCCAGUUUGAGUUCUGUUUUGCUUCUGAUUCAGCUCCCUGCUAAUGUGCCUAGAAAAACAGCAGAAAACAGCCCAAAUACCAGGGACCCUGCCAUCUACAUGGGAGACCUGAAUGGAGUUCCUGGCUCGUGGCUUCAGCAUGGCCUAGCCCUGUUUGUUUCAGCCAUUUGGAGAGUGAAUAAGUGAAUGGAAGAGUCUAUCCGUCACUCUGCUGCUCUGUCUUUAACUUAAGUAAAUGUUUAGGGGGGAAAGGGGGGCAGAAAAGUCAUAACUCAAACCAUAUUACUCCUUGACUCAGAACUCUCCAACAGUUUCUCUGCUUGCUCAGCACAAAGUUCAGUCUGUGGCCCCUGAAGUCCUCUGGAACGUGCUCCUCCACACUUACCUUUGUUUGAUGCACCCAGCUGGCAGCCUGCACUCCUAGAGUACAGAGGGCAGCUCCCAUGGAGAGGCCUUUGCACUUGGUUCCUCCAAAGCAGCAGUAGAGACCAACAUCUGUGUGACCCCCGCCCCCGCCCUUCCCUCACAUCUCCGCUCAAAAUCAACCGCAUUAGGGGAGUAGCCCUAUCCUAAAUAGUGCACAUUCCUUGUCCCUCUAAUUUUCCAGGACUGUCUUUCAUCUCUAUAGCAUUUAGGGGCACCUAACAAAUUAUGUAUCUGCUUAUUGUCUGUUUCCUCACUAGAAUGUAAACCCCGGGAGAACUGAGACCAGUGCAUAGGUUCUCAAUAAAUAUUUAUGGAAAGAAUUCUCCUCUCUGCCUUUCUUAUCUCAACAAAUAAACAAGUCUCAUCUCCUUUACUCCUUGGGCUUUCUUUUCCUCUUUUCCGCCUUCUAGACCCACCAGCCCCUUUACUCAACCAUGAAUUUAUCAGUUCCCCUCAUACUAAAAAGCCUUCCCUUAAGCCUUCUUCCUCUCCGAACAGUGACCGAGUCUUACCCCUUCCUGCUUCCUUCUCUGCCCCUUCUCCCCCCCACAAUCAGUUUUCAGCUCCUUCAGCUUGACCUCUGAUCUUUGGCUCUGCAGGCCCUGCCCCCUCAAAGAUCACUCUAAACCUACUCUCCUUCUGGAUUGCAAUUGGCCUCUCUGCGUCAUUUGUUCUCUUCGAAAGUGGUCUUCCCCUAGUUGUGGGGAUGCUCUUUGCUCUUGUCAUGCUUCUUUUAUUGUCCUUUUUCUUCCUCUUCUUUUCAGCUUGGCCUCUUUUCCCAUCUCUAUUGGCCAGAAUUCCAUCUUCUGUUCUCUUAACAUCUCCCUCUGCCCGAGUUCCCUCACCUGUUUCCUUUGCUUUGUCUGGAGACGUGCCUCUCACACCUGAACCUGCAUCUGAUUCACCUGGAGGGAGGGUUAAAGCAGCUUGUUGACCCCACCGCCCAGAGAGUUCUGCAUGAAACACUCCCCGCAGUUCUAGCAAACUCCCAGGUGACAGCGACGCUGCUGGCCCAGCCUUUACCCUUCGAGAACCACUGCUUUAUAAUAACUGCGCAGCCAUCCUAUCCCUCCUACCAGGUACUAAUGGACUGUGGAUUUCUUAUGGCUAGAAACUGUCCUAUCAUAUCAUCUUUAUAUCAUCAGCACAGUGCCUGACAUGAUAGUUUUUCAACACGUAUGUUCAAGCUGAAUUGAAAAGAAUCAUGUGGAGACCCAGUUGUGCCAUGACACAGAUGCUGAUAAAAAUAUCUAUUCAGAGCCAUCUUUUCAUUGAUAGACUUGAACAGACUCUCUGAACACUUACUGUUAGCCAGAUGAGCAAUUGAACUUGCCCACCAAGUUCAGCCUCUUCCUUGUAAUUCUUGCCUAUGUUGGUGUGCAGUCUUGUUCAUUACAUUUCUGUGCUUCAUAUACUGUCACCUGUGUUGGGAAAACCUGCCCACAUGUCCUGUCAUCACUGCUUGUUUCAUGAAGACGGGAGUGCCUGCUGAGAGGGCAAUGGUAGUCCACAGCUUCACUUGGGGCUCACCAGAAAUGCAGAAAGCAUUUCUGAAUCACACACUCUAGGGCAGCGGUCAGCAAGCUGUCUUAACCAUCACUCCAGGUGGUUCUGGUGCAGGCUCAACUUUAAGAACCAUGUUCCUACAUAAAGGAAAGGAUGUGGGUGACAGCAUUUUCUCAGAAGGAAAAGUCGAGAAAACAAGGGAUGGAAUUCUGGAAAAUUCAGGCAGAGGGAGAGGACACAGCAGAAAAUCAGGAAGAAUUAGGAAGAAGAAAAGGCAGAUAAAAAGAAAAUCUCCCAAAAGAAAAUCAUGAAGCAUUUUUUGAUCCAUUUCUUUCAGCCUGUUUAAAUCAAAAUAUCAACUCUGUUUACUCAGUCAACAUUACCUCACCUAUUCUUCCCAAUACCUGUGCCUACCUACCUUGGAAUAAAGGAUAGCAAAGAAUUCUUGCCCUCAUGAAGGAUCUGUGUCUUCCAACAGACUCUCCCUUGACUCCAUGCUUUCAUGUAAAGCCAUUAAGGAUUCAUGAUUGCAAAUACUGACUAAGUCAUUUGAUUUGAUGGUAGGCAGCUACUAUGGUUUGGUUGUGAUUUAUCCCCCUAAGAAUUUAUGUGUUAGAUGGUUGCUCUGUAUUGUGGCAAUAUUAAGAGGUGGUGGAACAUUUAAGAGAUGGCAUGUACUGGAAGGCCAUUAGGUCUUGCUAAUGAAAGUAGAUCUUGUGGGAUUCCACUAUCCUCAAAAUUAUGAACUGCUACAAAAAAACAAAACUGGUCCUCCCCACUCCUUGGCUACUGUCUUGCCAUGUGACCACUCACUUGCACACUCUCAACAUUGUGAUGCUAUCACCAUGAGGUCCUCACCAGAGCUGACCCAGUGCCAGCACCGUACCCUCAAACCUCUAUAACUGUGAGCUAAAUGAACCUCUUUUCUUUAUAAAGGACCCAGCCUCAGGAUUUCACUGUGGUAAUAAAAAUAGUCUAAGACAGCAUUUCACAGAGACAUUGCCAUUUCUGUAUUAACUCAUGUCUCUUGAGAUAGACAAGGUGGUAUUCAUAAUAAUUACUGAAAUUCUCCAUUUCUACAUUGCAUUUUUAAUACAUAGAAUCAAUUUGGUCAGAAAGAAGAUCCCCAUGGGCAACAAUGCUAAGUGUUUUCUAAGAAUAACUGAUGACAAAACAUUUCAUAUUCAUAACUUGGAAGGGAUGGCUUUCCCUAUAAUUAUGUGGGAUCUGCAUGACUUUGUACUGUAAUUAUCACCCCUUUUGGGCUACCCAUCUUCCUUAUAUGAUUGUUAGAAUUUGAAAGCAUGGUAUUGAACAGAUGCCAACUUUUUUUAUUAAAAAAGAUGAUCAGUUCAAUCUGAAAUAUCUAUUGAUCAGUUUCAUCUAUUGAUUUAGCAUUUUAGUAUCAAAUACUAGGAUUCUUGUUAUACUUUCAGUUACUUAUCAGGGUGAUAGAGCAGUUAUAUUGUCAAACAUGUGAAAUUAACUCUUCUUUUAAGUACCAACCUACACCAGAGACAGGAAUAGUUGGAAUGACUCUGAUUAACAGGCCAGUACUUAGUUUGGAUUACUCCGUUGGAUACCUCCUUCCUUAUUUAACAAAAAAUAGUUAUAGAAAAACUCAUAAUGUUUGUGAUUUAAUCAACCUUCUCCCAUCUGCUACUUCAAUGCUAGGCUGGUGGGAUAAUUGCCAGCUUUGAGUCACAAAAACACUUAUCACUAUAACACGCACAGAAACAUUUGACUUUUUGUAAUCAAGUGGCCAAUAGAAAAGGAGACAGAAGUGGGAAUUUACUUAUAUGCGAAAAUAUAUAUGGAAUUUCAGUUUCUAGUGUAUGAGGUCAGAUUUCAUAUAUUUACAUCACUGCUAAUAAAUUCUCCUCUGAUAAAUUUAGGAAAAAUAGGAUUAUUUUUCUUCAAAGUCACACCUAUGCCUCCCUGCUCUUAAAAAGAGUUACUUGGGGCUGGCGCUGCGGCUCACUAGGCUAAUCCUCCACCUUGCGGCGCCGGCAUACCGGGUUCUAGUCCCGGUUGGGGCGCUGGAUUCUGUCCCAGUUGCCCCUCUUCCAGGCCAGCUCUCUGCUUUGGUCAGGGAGUGCAGUGGAGGAUGGCCCGAGUACUUGGGCCCUGCACCCCAUGGGAGACCAGGAUAAGUACCUGGCUCCUGCCAUCGGAUCAGCGCGGUGCGCCGGCUGCAGCACGGCGGCCGCGGCGGCCAUUGGAGGGUGAACCAACAGCAAAAGGAAGACCUUUCUCUCUGUCUCUCUCUCUCACCGUCCACUCUGCCUGUCAAAAAAAAAAAAAAAGAGUUACUUGGUCGUGAGGGGGUACGCCUAGAUAUUAUGUAGGUAGGGCUAAACUGAAGAUAAAAAAGAACAUGCUCCAAUGCAUAGUUUCCUUGGAAAUAAAACAAUUAGCUAUACAAGAGCCUCAAAAAUACAAGAGUUUAUCCGACAGAAUGACAAUGUGAAGUUUUCUCUGUAGAACUUCAUGCUUUUUGAUGUAGUAGUCAGGUAUUAUUGCUGCAAAAAGAGGACAUAAGUCAUAAUAUCAUCACUCAAACUUAGCUAUUAUCCAGAUAAUUUCCUCAGUUUCCUACUUGCAAUAUAUAGGCAAGAAAGAGAAAA